UGGGGAAUUUUGCGCAAUGGGGGAAACCCUGACGCAGCAACGCCGCGUGGAGGAUGAAGUCCUUCGGGACGUAAACUCCUUUCGAUCGGGACGAUAAUGACGGUACCGAGAGAAGAAGCCCCGGCUAACUUCGUGCCAGCAGCCGCGGUAAUACGAGGGGGGCGAGCGUUGUUCGGAAUUAUUGGGCGUAAAGGGUGCGUAGGCGGUUUGGUAAGUCUUAUGUGAAAUCUAUGGGCUCAACUCAUAGUCUGCAUGAGAAACUGCCGGGCUUGAGUGUGGGAGAGGUGAGUGGAAUUUCCGGUGUAGCGGUGAAAUGCGUAGAUAUCGGAAGGAACACCUGUGGCGAAAGCGGCUCACUGGACCACAACUGACGCUGAUGCACGAAAGCUAGGGGAGCAAACAG
rnacentral:rRNA from 1 species